GUACCGGACACGGGGUGCCCCAUCUGCGGGCUGAGAUCACACCCGUUGAACCUGAACCAGUUCGUACUGGCGGAGGGAUGUCUUUCAUGCCAUUG
rnacentral:ncRNA from 2 species